AAAUCAUUGCUAUAAUUAAAUCUUUUAGUUUGAAAUUAUCGUGAAUGUAUCUGAAGCAAAAGAAAAACAUAAACCACCACAAAUUAAUCAAGACAUUGAAUUAGAUGUUUUUAAAGACUUUGAUGAAGCAGCCAAUGAAAUUGGUAUAAAUAAAAAAGAUCUGAAUGUUAAUGCAUUUAAACAAUUUGAAAUUGAACUAGAAAUUAAAGGAAAAGUUGUUAGACGAAGAAGAAAUGCCAAUGAUGGUGAUUAUGAUGAUGCAGAUUAUGAAGACAGAGGUAGAGUUGGUGAAAUUGCUGCACCUGAUGAUGUAGAGAGAAGCAAUA